AACAAGGCGAUGAAGAGAAGAGUAAACAAAACGGACUGGCACAGAGAGUUCCCGUAUGGUGAAAGGGAAAGCAGAAAAUUUUGUUGAAGAUGGCCUCGGAGCCGAUUGGUCGAAUCAUUAAACCAUCCGGGUGCACCCGUUACAGUGCUAUGGUAUUCAAGACUACGGUCUGCGUACCUGAAGAGAUUCGGUUUGUAAAAAUCGAAUAAAAUUGGGUGGUAUCACGGAGCUUCCGUCCCUUAU
rnacentral:ncRNA from 1 species